rnacentral:rRNA from 1 species
GGGGAUAACACUUGGAAACAGGUGCUAAUACCGUAUAACAACCAAAACCACCUGGUUUUAGUUUAAAAGAUGGCUUCGGCUAUCACUUUAGGAUGGACCCGCGGCGUAUUAGCUUGUUGGUAAGGUAACGGCCUACCAAGGCAAUGAUACGUAGCCGACCUGAGAGGGUAAUCGGCCACAUUGGGACUGAGACACGGCCCAAACUCCUACGGGAGGCAGCAGUAGGGAAUCUUCCACAAUGGACGAAAGUCUGAUGGAGCAACGCCGCGUGAGUGAUGAAGGGUUUCGGCUCGUAAAACUCUGUUGUUGGAGAAGAACAGGUGUGAGAGUAACUGUUCACAUCUUGACGGUAUCCAACCAGAAAGCCACGGCUAACUACGUGCCAGCAGCCGCGGUAAUACGUAGGUGGCAAGCGUUGUCCGGAUUUAUUGGGCGUAAAGCGAGCGCAGGCGGUUUCUUAGGUCUGAUGUGAAAGCCUUCGGCUUAACCGGAGAAGUGCAUCGGAAACCAGGAGACUUGAGUGCAGAAGAGGACAGUGGAACUCCAUGUGUAGCGGUGAAAUGCGU